GACAGAGGGUGCAAACGUUGUUCGGAUUUACUGGGCGUAAAGCGCGUGUAGGCGGCUUGGCAAGUUGGAUGUGAAAGCCCAACGGCUCAACCGUGGAAGCGCAUCCAAAACUGCUUCGCUCGAGUCUCGGAGAGGAAGGUGGAAUGCUUGGUGUAGAGGUGAAAUUCGUAGAUAUCAAGCAGAACACCUGCGGCGAAGGCGGCCUUCUGGACGAUGACUGACGCUGAGACGCGAAAGCGUGGGGAGCAAACAGGAUUAGAUACCCGUAG
rnacentral:rRNA from 1 species